GACGAACGCUGGCGGCGUGCCUAAUACAUGCAAGUUGAGCGAUGAAGCUUGGUGCUUGCACCAAUUUGAAGAGCAGCGAACGGGUGAGUAACGCGUGGGGAAUCUGCCUUUGAGCGGGGGACAACAUUUGGAAACGAAUGCUAAUACCGCAUAAUAACUUUAAACAUAAGUUUUAAGUUUGAAAGAUGCAAUUGCAUCACUCAAAGAUGAUCCCGCGUUGUAUUAGCUAGUUGGUGAGGUAAAGGCUCACCAAGGCGAUGAUACAUAGCCGACCUGAGAGGGUGAUCGGCCACAUUGGGACUGGGACACGGCUCAAACUCCUACGGGAGGCAGCAGUAGGGAAUCUUCGGCAAUGGACGAAAGUCUGACCGAGCAACGCCGCGUGAGUGAAGAAGGUUUUCGGAUCGUAAAACUCUGUUGGUAGAGAAGAACGUUGGUGAGAGUGGAAAGCUCAUCAAGUGACGGUAACUACCCAGAAAGGGACGGCUAACUACGUG
rnacentral:rRNA from 1 species